UUUGAAGUUUUACUAACAUUGUGCCAGUUUUAUACUUUCAGGGACUCGGAAGAGGAACAACGAUGGAGGAGCAAGGUCGACCAACAGCAAAAGACAGGAUGACGAGUCCAUUUCCCAUCUCUAUGCAGCAACCAAUAUGGCUCAAGGUUCAGAAGAAAUUUGAGGCUGACCAGGAUCCUGAAGUGAAGAGCAGUCCCUCUCCCAUUUAACAGCGUUCAUGAGCAGAAAGUGCGGAAGCAGAGAUAGCCACCUCUGAAGGUCAGUCUGGAGUGUUUUCUGCUGCAUUCAGAAAGUAUGGGGUGUAUAGUAGUUGUAAGUAGCGUUACAAAGGUGUUUCUUAGUCUUAGGUUUAGUUUGUAUAGUAUUUCCGGUAGGUGCAGUUGUGUUGUAGUUUGAGUUAGUAAGUAGGCUUUAGUUGAUAGUUAGACAGCUUAGAGGAGUGUAGGUUAUUAUUGUAAUUAAGGUAUUUGUUAGUUAGUGCAUGAUUAGUGCUUGUGGUGGAUAGGUUUGCAUGAUUAACACCCUAACAAGCAGGGUUCUCCAUGAGCUGUUUUACUGUGUUGGUCCCGACACAGAAAAAUGUUCUCCGACACAGUAAAGAUUCAAAUUUUAUCUGUGUGACACAUUAAAAAUUUUGCUGACACAGUAAGAUCUGUGAUAAUAAAAAAAAAUUGAAACAUACAAAUUCUCUCUAUCUGAAACAUAAUUGAUCAAACAAUUCUACCGUCUUUCAAUUCUAUACGAUAUCUAGAUCACUUAAUUAUGCUUUCACCUUGCAUAAUCAAUUAUUUCCUAGACCCUCAAUGGACUUGACGCAUGAAGGAACAAAGACAAAAAAUUGGAUUUCAAACUUCCAUGUAACGCUUAAUUGGUACUAGUAGUUGCAAUUAAAGUACAUUGUAUUAUUUUUAAAAAUAUAUUUAAAUGUCUUUUCUUUAGAGCCAUGGCUCUAGAAUUAUGUUUGCAAUGUAAAUCAAACAUAACACUGUACCAAAAUCAUUUACUUGAUGUAAAUAAAUAGUUUUCAAUUUUCAAGGAACUUUUAAAAGUAUUUUACUAUUCCGAAGUCUCUUUUUUUGUAAUUCCUUAAUUCGAUCAAUAAAAUUGACAAAAAAAUUAUGACAAAUUUGCUUUAAAAAAUUGUAAGUAGUUCAACUUUAUAGACAAGAAUUUCCUCUGCAUUUCACAACAUGUGCUAAUAUGUUCGACCAUACUAUUUUUGUAAUGAAUUGGUGAUUUUUUUUUUUUUUAAAUUGUGUGCAUGUAUUCUUAAGUAAUUAUAAUGAAUAGUGAGUCAGUUGCAAAUUUGAUCGCUAAAAUACCGUGAAAUUUUAGUGCUUUGCGUAAACUCUGCAACACAGUAAAAUUUCAAACAAUGGAGAACCCUGAACAAGUAACAAGCUACUAAAACUACUAAC